CAGUAGCCGCGGUAAUACGGAGGGUGCGAGCGUUAAUCGGAAUUACUGGGCGUAAAGCGCGCGUAGACGGUUUGGUAAGUCAGAUGUGAAAUCCCUGGGCUCAACCUGGGAACUGCAUUUGAUACUGCCUGGCUAGAGUAUCGAAGAGGGAAGUGGAAUUUCCGGUGUAGCGGUGAAAUGCGUAGAUAUCGGAAGGAACACCAGUGGCGAAAGCGACUUCCUGGUCGAAUACUGACGUUCAUGUGCGAAAGCGUGGGGAGCAAACAGGAUUAGAUACCCCUGUAGUCCCUGUCUCUUAUAC
rnacentral:rRNA from 1 species